UCUUUAUCAAGUUCCACGAGAACGAGUUUGAACGAGUAAAGUCCCCAAGUCGGCACGUGUUCAUCUGUCAUAAAACUAUUCUUCUUACACGUUUGCAGAAUGACUGGCGAAAUGAUAGCGAGAGCAAAAAUAAUGCAGUUACUUUCGAAAUCGCAACGCGAAAGAGGAGAGUCGAGUAUAUAAUACUCGAAGAAAAUCAAUUAGUAUUUUUGCGAUUGCAGAAAACGAAAAGACAGAGAACGCGCGAGACUGGUGACAUGUAUGCCAUUUCAACGAGAUACGAGAUUCAACACGUGUCACAUAACUAAUCCUCAAACGCUCCAGCUUGAUCUUUUCUAAGAGCAUGCACAUUUCAUGGCAAAUAGCGUUCAAGGUGAAACCGACUAGAUAUGAUAUCAGGCAUUUUAUUUAAUCAAUGCGUACGUAUGUAUGUGCGAAUACUCUUCCAAUUGUUUUAUUUAACGUAUUCAAAUAUUCUUAGUGAGCUAGCCGAUGUAUUUGAUAAUAAAUUGACUUGAAUAUUAUGAUUUGUUUCCUUUUACAUUCCUUUAUAAAAUUUCACAAAAAUAUCGAUCUAACGAAAUUGCGGGAAGACUUUAAUCAUUGACAAAAGGUCGUCGUAGUUUAUUACGUAAGAGUUCCAUGAGUGUCGAGCAAGUUCCGCGCGCGAGAUAUUACUGAUAUCCGUGCGUAUCAGUGAAAACGUGCUCUUAUCGUUAGUGGUAAAGCGAGUCGUCUCAGAUGGACAUUAUUUCUCUCAUCUCUUUGAUCCGUUAUUUCAGUCGAGGUAGCUCAAACCGGUCAAUGAUCCUCCUUGGUAUGAACGGAAUAGUUAAUUGACUAGCGCAGAUAACUGGUAUAUUUGAUGAUUCGUUUAAAUUGUAAAUAAUAGCAUGACUUGAAAAAAAGAAGGAAGUUGCUUUACAUUCGAAUGGUUGGCAGGGUUAUAGCAGUUUGCACUUUUACCGCUUCGUUUCUUGUUAUUUAUUUCAAAAUUCUUUUUUCAGAUAUCUUAGUUUGAUUAGAUUCUUCCGAGAUGCUAUGUCAAUAUGAUUUGCGUAAAAAAAUUGUAAAAUAAUAUACUUUAAGAAAACUGGAGUUUCCUGGAUCAUAUACGUACUUACAUGCGUAAGGUAUAAAUAAAAUUUCCUCGUAUAUAUUAAAGCAUCGACCAGAGAAAAAAUUAGAAAUUGUCACGUCGUAACGUUUGUACUCAUAUUUUUGAUUUUAGAUGUUCCGACUUAAUACAAUUCGAUUUGCACUAAUACUUAUUUGGACAUUUAUGUAACUUUUUUAUGAUUAUUCAUCAAAAAUUUCAUUAGUAUUUUAUUUGUUAUUAUUUCAAAAAAGCAAGAUUCUUUUAUUCAUGGUGAACCUUAUGAUCAUAUAAGAAAUCUUCGAAGUCCGGUUAUUUUCUACGCUUCUAUACCAUUCUAUACCGUUAUAGAAAUAGCUCACGCAUUCAUGACGUUAAUGUAAACUAAUGGUCACCACCUCGACGUAUAUAGCUGUAACGCUUUAUCGGUAAAAUAAUCCGACUUGCUCAUACAACAUCCUAAAUAUGCUACGUAUGUUAGCGAAUUACCUCAAAUAUCAUGAUCAUUUAGAAAUUGUUUACUAAGAUAACUAAAAUGGGAAAUAUACAAGUAAUAAUUAAAUUGUUUAUAAAUAAUAAAACAAUAGCAAGUAUUUAGUCAAAAGUAUAAUAUAAAUAUAUAGUAAAUAAUUGAAGACUAAAUUAAAUUUUACAGUUCUACUACAUUUUGACUAACUUGGACAAUAAUAUAUACGUUGUAAGAUUCUUAAAUCUUAAAACAAUCAAUAAUAGUUAAAAAAAGAUCAUUUAUAGCCUUGUUCAUCACAUAUAUGUCCAUAUUUUGUAUUUAAUAAUAAUUUCAAAAUCGUUAGUUCCAACAGGAAUGAAUUUUCUUAUGAACUCGUAUGACGACGGAUUCUGUGUACUGGUCCAGUUGAUGGUUCAAGGGAGAGUGUUACGACUUAGCUCGGAACUCGCUCAAGCCUUGGGCUACCACGAAUGUUUAUAUUUCAAAUUUCGCAGCAAUAAGCAUUCGUUGGAACCUAACAGCAAGCAUUUCAAAGUACUUUGGGUAAAAUAAAAUAUUAAUUGCUUUAAUAUUUACAGGGACAGUUAAAAUGAUAAACAGAUAAAAUGAUAUAAGGAAUAUGUAUGAAAUUUCCAGUGUAAUUUAGCGAAUUGGAAAUAUUAGAAAACAAACAGUUUGACGAAUACAUCGUACAAAAACCAUAUAUUUCCAUUUAUAUUUGUAAAAAGCUAAAAUAAACGCAAAUUCCCCUUAUCAUUGUUAUAUAAUCGUCAGAUUA